rnacentral:rRNA from 1 species
AUUGAACGCUGGCGGCAUGCCUUACACAUGCAAGUCGAACGGCAGCAUGGAGAGCUUGCUCUCUGAUGGCGAGUGGCGAACGGGUGAGUAAUGCAUCGGAACGUACCGUGUAAUGGGGGAUAACGUAGCGAAAGUUACGCUAAUACCGCAUACGACCUGAGGGUGAAAGCAGGGGAUCGCAAGACCUUGCGUUAUACGAGCGGCCGAUGUCAGAUUAGCUAGUUGGUGAGGUAAAGGCUCACCAAGGCGACGAUCUGUAGCGGGUCUGAGAGGAUGAUCCUCCACACUGGAGCUGAGACACAGCCCAGACUCCUACGGGAGGCAGCAGUGGGGAAUUUUGGACAAUUGGGGCAACCCUGAUCCAGCCAUGCCGCGUGAGUGAAGAAGGCCUUCGGGUUGUAAAGCUCUUUCGGCCGGGAAGAAAUCGCACAGGCUAAUACUCUGUGUGGAUGACGGUACCGGCAUAAGAAGCACCGGCUAACUACGUGCCAGCCGCCGCCGUAA